GUGCUCACUUUGGCAGCACAUAUACUAAAAUGGGAAUGAUACAGAGAGGAUUAGCAUGGCCCCGUCCAAGGAUAACACAGAAAUGUAUGAAACAUUAUGUAUUUUU
ensembl:snRNA U6 U6 spliceosomal RNA